rnacentral:rRNA from 1 species
AUGGCCGCCCACCCCACCGGGACCAAGAAGCGGAGCGGCAGCGGCCAUGGGGCCGCCGCGGCCCUCGUCGUCGCCGCCCUCCUCGUCCUCUGCUCCACCGCGUCCAUGGCGCUCACCCCGGACGGCGAGGCGCUGCUGGAGCUCAAGCUGGCAUUCAACGCCACGGCGGGGCAGCGGCUGGGCAGCUGGCGGGCCGCCGACCCCAACCCCUGCGGCUGGGAGGGCGUCUCCUGCUCCUUCCCGGACCUCAGGGUCCAUGCCAUAAAUCUGCCCUACAUGCAGCUCGGGGGCAUCAUCUCGCCCAGCAUCGGCAGGCUCACCAAGCUGCAGAGACUAGCUCUGCACCAGAACAGCCUGCACGGCCCCAUCCCCGCCGAGAUCAGGAACUGCACCGAGCUCAGAGCCAUUUACCUGAGAGCCAACUACCUGCAAGGCGGCAUCCCUCCGGGGAUCGGCGACCUCACUCACCUCACCAUCCUGGACCUGUCCAGCAAUCUGCUGCGGGGUGCAAUACCGGCGACGAUCGGGAGCCUAACUCAUUUGCGGUUCCUGAACCUCUCCACCAACUUCUUCUCGGGAGAGAUCCCGAAUGUCGGCGUCCUCGGAACCUUCAAGAGCAGCUCGUAUGUCGGAAAUCUGGAGCUUUGUGGGCUGCCCAUACAGAAAGGUUGCCGCGGAACCCUCGGGUUCCCUGCGGUGCUGCCGCACUCUGACCCCCUCUCCUCCUCUGGUGUUUCUCCAAUCACCAACAAUAAUAAAACCUCACACUUUCUGAAUGGCGUUGUGAUCGGUUCAAUGUCAACCAUGGCCAUCGCGCUGGUCGCGGUGCUAGGCUUCCUCUGGGUAUGCUUGCUGUCCAGGAAGAAGAAUGGUGUGAACUAUGAGAAAAUGGACAAGCAAACUGUCCCGGAUGGUGCAAAGCUUGUGACAUACCAGUGGAACCUUCCGUAUUCGUCGGGCGAGAUCAUUAGAAGGCUGGAGCUGCUUGAUGAAGAGGAUGUGGUUGGUUGCGGCGGGUUUGGUACGGUGUACAAGAUGGUGAUGGAUGAUGGCACGGCGUUUGCCGUCAAGAGGAUUGACCUCAAUCGAGAGAGGCGAGACAAGACUUUUGAGAAGGAGCUCGAGAUCCUGGGCAGCAUUAGGCAUAUCAACCUUGUCAAUCUGCAAGGAUACUGCCGGCUCUCCACGGCCAAACUACUCAUAUAUGAUUUCAUGGAGCUGGGCAGCUUGGAUAGCUACCUCCAUGGAGAUGCACAGGAGGAUCAGCCAUUGAACUGGAAUGCGCGUAUGAAGAUCGCCCUGGGCUCUGCCCGCGGUUUGGCAUAUCUGCACCAUGAUUGCUCGCCGGGGAUCGUCCACCGGGACAUCAAAGCCAGCAACAUCCUUCUGGACAGAUGCUUGGAGCCGCGCGUGUCUGAUUUCGGCCUCGCGAGGCUGCUGGUGGACAAUGAGACCCACGUAACCACUGUCGUGGCGGGUACCUUCGGGUACCUAGCACCAGAGUACCUGCAAAAUGGGCAUUCGACCGAGAAAUCAGACGUGUAUAGCUUUGGGGUGCUUUUGCUGGAACUGGUGACCGGAAAGAGGCCUACGGAUUCUUGCUUCCUCAACAAGGGUCUCAACAUCGUCGGCUGGCUGAACACGCUGAGCGGGGAGCAUCGCCUGGAGGAGAUCCUGGACUCGCGGUCGGGCGACGCGGAGGUGGAGGCGGUGGAGGGGAUCCUGGACAUCGCGGCCAUGUGCACGGACGCGGACCCGGGGCAGCGGCCGUCCAUGGGCGCGGUGCUCAAGAUGCUGGAGGAGGAGAUCCUGUCGCCCUGCCUCAGCGAGCUCUACUACGAGCAGCACCUGGAGCUCUGA